AAAAAGGAAGCAAAUGGGUUAGUCGGUAAAGAAAAUUUGAGAUGGAAGUGAUGAGUGUCGCUGGAAAAGCCCGAAAAUUGAAGAAAGAAGCCAGAAUAUUGAAGAAAGCAAGUACAGUAUCUAGGUUUUGAAAGAGGAAAGCAUUAGAAGCAGCAAACGAGAUAACCAAAAUCGUCUUUCAUUAUUUCAUAUCACAAAUUAGGGAAACCAAAAAAAUUGCAGCCCCAUAAAAUCGAAGCUACAGGCGCUGGAAUGUGGCAGAAUUUGGUAAAAUGUGAAGCAUCAUCUUGUGAAGUUGUCUUCACCAUAUAAUUUUCGUAACAUCAUUUCUUGUUAUGGGUGGGUCGUGAUUAUUGGAACAUGGUGAUUUGGACAAAUCCCAGAAUUGAUCCUGCUAAAAGCAUGACAGAGCAAAGGGAAGAAGGUAUCCGUCAAAAUUGCAUCAAAGUAUUAACAGGUGAACCAGAGUUAGAUGAAGUUGCCUUUUGUCGUGAAGAGAAGAAGGCAGAGGCUGAAAAUAGUGCAGAAGAUAAGAAAAACGAGCAAAACAAUUACGGUUUCAUUUCGUACUUGUAAGUAAGAUUCUGAUAUUCGUUUUAAACAAUGCAUUGGAGGUUAAUGUUAAUCGAUUUGAUUGCAGUGUUUGAAUUUCAAGUUUAAUUGUUAGGUUAAUGGGUAUAAGAGAACAUNNN
rnacentral:lncRNA from 1 species